UACGUAGGGCGCGAGCGUUGUCCGGAUUUAUUGGGCGUAAAGAGCUCGUAGGCGGCUUGUCGCGUCGACUGUGAAAACCCGUGGCUCAACCAUGUGGUCUGCAGUCGAUACGGGCAGGCUAGAAUUCGGUAGGGGAGACUGGAAUUCCUGGUGUAGCGGUGAAAUGCGCAGAUAUCAGGAGGAACACCGGUGGCGAAGGCGGCUAUCUGGACGACAACUGACGCUGAGGCGCGAAAGCGUGGGGAUCAAACAGG
rnacentral:rRNA from 1 species